AAAGGCCUGCAGCUUGCUGCGGGUACUCGAGUGGCGAACGGGUGAGUAACACGUGGGUGAUCUGCCUUGCACUUCGGGAUAAGCUUGGGAAACUGGGUCUAAUACCGGAUAGGACAGCUGUUUAGUGUCAGUUGUGGAAAGUUUUUUCGGUGCAAGAUGAGCUUGCGGCCUAUCAGCUUGUUGGUGGGGUAAUGGCCUACCAAGGCGUCGACGGGUAGCCGGCCUGAGAGGGUGUACGGCCACAUUGGGACUGAGAUACGGCCCAGACUCCUACGGGAGGCAGCAGUGGGGAAUAUUGCACAAUGGGCGGAAGCCUGAUGCAGCGACGCCGCGUGGGGGAUGAAGGCCUUCGGGUUGUAAACUCCUUUCGACAGGGACGAAGCGUAAGUGACGGUACCUGUAUAAGAAGCACCGGCUAACUACGUGCCAGCAGCCGCGGUAAUACGUAGGGUGCGAGCGUUGUCCGGAAUUACUGGGCGUAAAGAGCUCGUAGGUGGUUUGUCGCGUCGUCUGUGAAAUUCCGGGGCUUAACUCCGGGCGUGCAGGCGAUACGGGCUGACUUGAGUGCUGUAGGGGAGACUGGAAUUCCUGGUGUAGCGGUGAAAUGCGCAGAUAUCAGGAGGAACACCGAUGGCGAAGGCAGGUCUCUGGGCAGUAACUGACGCUGAGGAGCGAAAGCAUGGGUAGCGAACAGGAUUAGAUACCCUGGUAGUCCAUGCCGUAAACGGUGGGCGCUAGGUGUAGGGGGCUUCCACGUCUUCUGUGCCGUAGCUAACGCAUUAAGCGCCCCGCCUGGGGAGUAC
rnacentral:rRNA from 1 species